GGGGUAUAAAAUGUAGUCAUUCCGACGUACUAACCCGAGUCACGUUCGAGUGUUAUUGUUGUUACUUGGCGAGCAGCAGAGAAGACACAGCUAGAAAAUAGAACUCCACACAAACGUACCUGUAUCUGGUCAAGUGAUAGUUGACUAUGUGCUGAUUAUUAAUCAACGCCUGCACCUUUCUGGCCGAGUCGAUUGGCCGGGCGUGCGGGUGUGUCAGUGAUGAGGAGGAGCAGGUUCCGGUCAAUGAGCGGAAGUGUGUGCUUUCAAAUACAAUGACAGUGUCGCCGUCCAAUGGUGAAAUUGUCAAGCAGCCACUUCCCUCCGACCAGGAGAUAACUACUAGGACAGACGGACAGUACAGAGGAUGAGGAUAGUGACGUCAUCACUUGUCAGCGCUGUCCUCCUCAUGAUGUUGUUCAGCUUUGUGACCCAUUCCUUUGUCUUUCUGGAUAUUGUUACGCUUUCAAACUAACUCCUUUUUAUUGUAAUGAUAUUGUUGCCAGGCUAUGCCGAAUGACCUUAAUACUUUAAGUAACUUGGUAAUAGUUGUAAGAGGUCAUCAUCUUUUUGAUCAUAAUAUGGCGGUGAUUCAGGAAUGUCUUAAUCAGUUAAUAGUCCGUCGACACACUAGUAGUAAGAUUCUCUAGCUGAGUAACACCCUUAUAAGGUCACCACGGGUCACUGAAGGGCCAUAACAUGAUCUGUUGGAUUGAUCUGACUCUCUUUAAUAGAAAUGUAUUAAUUUGAUAUCUUAACAUGAACCGUUAUGAGUAAUAUUCAGGAUGACAAACAUUCAAGAAAAACAUCAUACCGCCUGUCUUAUCUGUUUAACUGUUUAACUCGAUUUAAAUGAUAUGGCAACAACCAAUCCGAUACUCCCGUUCUUUUCAGAUUUGUUAUAUUUAUUUUGUCCGUAUGACGUCACUGUCCAAAACGUGUCUCCUGACGCCGGGGUAGUAUCUGAGCUUAGACAAUGAUAUGACACUCGUGUAGACAAUGGGAGUAUUUGAAAUGUUCGUGAUAUUGGUGAUAAGAUAUUAGUGCUGUAUGUGGGUACUAUGUUAAGUUAUCGGAUCUCCUAUAUGGACAAAUGCUGUGUUUUCUAUUCUUUUAAGACAUUAUGUAGGUUGGCAUUCAAGAAUGUGUGAAUGUACAACAAAAUCAUCAAACAAUAUCCUGUUUAUAGACUGCGCUACUGUCGUACAAGUUAUAAUUUUACAGUCGUAUAAGGGCAUUAAAUGGUUAGAAUUAAUCAAAAAGGAGAGCAUCGUAUUGAACACCUUGGGCUAGCGAUGAGAUAAGCCAAUGUUUUUCAAAAUAAAAGUCGAUUUAGUAUACAUUGUACACAAUUUCAAUAAGAUUUCAUGCUAUCGAUUGCAUAUUUAUCAAAUAAGCAAUAACGCUAUUUUUCUAUGAAUUCCUACAUGUAUAUGUGAUAUUUUUAUUUUUAACAUUUGCUAAUAAAUAUAUCCUUCAAACUGAAA